GACGAACGCUGGCGGCGUGCCUAAUACAUGCAAGUUGAGCGCUGAAGGUUGGUACUUGUACCAACUGGAUGAGCAGCGAACGGGUGAGUAACGCGUGGGGAAUCUGCCUUUGAGCGGGGGACAACAUUUGGAAACGAAUGCUAAUACCGCAUAAAAUCUUUAAACACAAGUUUUAAGUUUGAAAGAUGCAAUUGCAUCACUCAAAGAUGAUCCCGCGUUGUAUUAGCUAGUUGGUGAGGUAAAGGCUCACCAAGGCGAUGAUACAUAGCCGACCUGAGAGGGUGAUCGGCCACAUUGGGACUGAGACACGGCCCAAACUCCUACGGGAGGCAGCAGUAGGGAAUCUUCGGCAAUGGACGAAAGUCUGACCGAGCAACGCCGCGUGAGUGAAGAAGGUUUUCGGAUCGUAAAACUCUGUUGGUAGAGAAGAACGUUGGUGAGAGUGGAAAGCUCAUCAAGUGACGGUAACUACCCAGAAAGGGACGGCUAACUACGUG
rnacentral:rRNA from 1 species